UGGUGGAGUGAUUUGUCUGGUUAAUUCCGUUAACGAACGAGACCUCGACCUACUAAAUAGUCGAGUAAACUUUUCGGGGUAUAUAUUGACUUCUUAGAGGGACUUUUGGUGAGUAGCCAAAGGAAGUUCGAGGCAAUAACA
rnacentral:rRNA from 1 species